UGAUUUGAUUCUUCGGAUGAAGAUCUUGGUGACUGAGUGGCGGACGGGUGAGUAACGCGUGGGUAACCUGCCUCAUACAGGGGGAUAACAGUUAGAAAUGACUGCUAAUACCGCAUAAGACCACAGCACCGCAUGGUGCAGGGGCAAAAACUCCGGUGGUAUGAGAUGGACCCGCGUCUGAUUAGGUAGUUGGUGGGGUAACGGCCUACCAAGCCGACGAUCAGUAGCCGACCUGAGAGGGUGACCGGCCACAUUGGGACUGAGACACGGCCCAAACUCCUACGGGAGGCAGCAGUGGGGAAUAUUGCACAAUGGGGGAAACCCUGAUGCAGCGACGCCGCGUGAGCGAUGAAGUAUUUCGGUAUGUAAAGCUCUAUCAGCAGGGAAGAAAAUGACGGUACCUGACUAAGAAGCACCGGCUAAAUACGUGCCAGCAGCCGCGGUAAUACGUAUGGUGCAAGCGUUAUCCGGAUUUACUGGGUGU
rnacentral:rRNA from 1 species